GAGGAAGCCAAGGACUGUUCCUGGGAUAAUCCCUCUUAUUCCACCUCCAUCGAUGCUGAGAAUGGUGAUUAGGUUUCCAUAAGUUGGAGGCUGUAGGGGUGAUUUUGGUCCUUCUCCCAUUAGGGAUGGAGUGAUGGAGGUAUGAACUUGAGUGAUAGAGCAGAGAAAAUGAGAGACUUGUUAUUUCAAGAGACUUAGAAUAGAAUUGAAGUUUCUGCAGGAGACUUAGAAAUGUAGAGAGACUUGGAGUUCUCUUUGAUAACUAGACAGGAGUAUUUAUAGACUCCUUAGCAUAUAUCCCUCAUUUUUCUUGCUCAUACUUUUCUAAAUGGACCUGGUUCAAGUUGGACCGCGGAUUCAUCAUUCGGGAUAAGUUGAAAAGUCCACAAGCAACCAGUAUCUUCUUGUUUUAUAGAAGCUAGCCAAAUGGUCAUAGACAUGACUCCUGGCAACUGUAGGUAAGACCAAAGAGAAUAGCUGGUAAGAAGGAUUAGGUGACUCAAUAAAGGUUGAGAUAGGAUGAAUUUUCCUAACUAAUGGAGUUUGUGAACAGGUCAUGGAAACACUAAGUCUUAUGAAAUGAUUCUGGUUUCUAGCUAUGUCUGGUGCAAAGAAUCAUGAUGGAGACAAGCCUAAAUGUGCAUACCAAACAAAAAUUUAUUAUUCAAUGUGCACAAAUUUGUGUUCGUAAAUGGAUGCGCUUGACUGGGGAUGGCGAUGAUUUUGAAAGAACACCAACUAGGGCAACGAAAAGUACUGGCCAACGCGGCACUUGCACCGUGAAUGACAAGGAACGGAUAAUUCAAUGUCAAGCAGCAAGGUUUUACAUAAUUUCCCGUUAGACAUGAUUUUUUUUGACCUAUUAACCUCAUGCUUUUCAUACUUAAUAUCUGUAAAAUUGUACACACCAUCAUUGGCUUCUAUAGUUUGUAGAAAACUACAUGGUUAUUCAAUAUUUUUUAUAAUUACAGUUCUAAGUCCUGUGAAUUUUAGAUGAUGUGCAGUGCAAAGACUUGGUUGACUGUUAGUUACUGAGGUUUUCCCACAUCUCCCAAAUGUUAAAAUGAUGAAAUUAUUGCCUAAGAAGCACCUGUUGCAGAAUCAUAUUUGGAGGUAAGAUAGCAGAUUAUAGCUAACUAAAAAUAGGUUGUAUUAUAUUAAACUACAAAUAGUUUUCAGUACUUUUGUCUUUAUCAAUCUGUGUUAGGCACUUAUUUAGCAAGGUUGGAAGUAUGAGGGGUGGCAGCAUCCUUAAUGGACUUCACUUUAUGUCGACCUAUCGUGGUCAAUUUGUAUUUAAUGAUUAACUUCACAUCCAUGAACGAAAAAAUCAUGUUUGUUUAUCAUGGUUAGGCAAAGAUGCAAUGCAUCCGUGAAGUGAAAAAAAGAAAGGACUGGUCAACUAAGAAAAUCUGUUGGUUGCCCUAUUGAAUUUGUGAACAAUUCACAGGAAGGUUCAAAUUUCGGACACAGCAUGGCCUAUUCACUUUCAUCUUGUGCUUAAUCUAGAACAAAAAUAAUACUACUACAGCCUAAUUAGAACAGCUCUAAAGAGUUGGGAAUUGAUGCUGUAAAUACUUUGUUCCUUAUGGUCUUUGCAUGUUAAUCUUAGCUGCUGGGCUUAGCUGGGCAUUAAUAUUCAGAAAUUCUGAUAAGUCUAUUGCCUGUAUUUCAAAUCCCAAAUUUGAUCCAAGCCAUAUAUAACUUAAUUGAAAACAGUAUAGAUUUUAUCUUUUCAAUCAGUGCCCUUGACCAUUCCACCGUUCCAAAGCCAUCCCUUUGUUUCUAUUUCAUGGAAGCUAGCUAUCUAUGCUGUAAUGCCAUCAAUCCAUUCCUGAUUCUUUGUGAUGCUUAAUUUAUAACCUCCGAAGUCCAUUUGCUUACAUUGAUUACUUACAUAGAAUUGAUAUGAUCAUGGAAAUAAAUAACGGAAGGAUUCUAUGCAAUUUACUUCAAGAUUAAUGAACCUACGUCUACUAAAAAGUUUUGUUUUAUUAUAUGUAGCUUUGAUCUCAACUUAUAUAUCUGCUGCAAUUCAUAUAUGAGAUAGGGUUUUCUUGUCCUCAUAGUCUGCACAACUUUCUACCAAAGAAGUUCACAAUGUGGAGUAUGAUUUAAAGGCUGGGAUGAACUGAGAAAAUGAGCGAAUGUUGAAAAUCUGAAGGUAUUUAUUAGAAUAGCAGGGCAUUUUUGUAUUGGUAAUAAAUCCGUUGUAUUUUCUGUUUUGUUCUGUUUUGUGAUCUGGUGAGUCAGUUACGGGUGUAGUUCUCUAGGCUCUAUAUAUAGGCAUGCUUUUGGGUAUUCUGAAUUGAUCUUCAGAAAACAUGAAUGAAAAGCAGAUUUUCUUUGUAGACCCUCUCCCUUUUUCUUCAAAAACAACUAACAUGGUAUCAGAGCUUUUCCUUCUACUCGCCUCUGUUCGUAUUCAUCUUUCUGUCUGAUGGCUAGAGGUAAUCAAUCCAACGUGCGUGCUGUGGUUAGAUUUUUCGACUUGUCACCAAUGGAGGAUUCAGGUAGCCCAUUUUAUCUCCAUAAUUCCACUGUCACUCUUCCAAAUGAACAUUCUGUUGCUGUCACUAGAGUAGGGUCUGUUGAAUUGUUUGAUUGUUUCAUUAUCGAAAAUGUUUUAUAUGUCCCACAGUUUCAUUUCAAUCUUCUUUCUGUUAGUGCCCUUACUCAAUAUCAUCAUUGCUCAGUGCAUUUUGUAUCUGAAUCUUGUUUUAUCCAGGACCGUAUGCAAGGGAAGAUGAUUGAGAUGGGUAGAUGCCGUGGCAAUCUCUAUGUUUUGAAUCCUACCAACCUUUUUCCUAUACCUUCUAGUGUCACAACUAUUUGUAAUAAUGCCUCAAAGACGGAACACGAGCUUUGGCAUUACCAUCUGGGUCAUCCCUUUUAUAAUAGGCUCAAUUCAUUGAAAGAUGUAUUAAAUCUCAAACUAUUUGUUGGCCACCCUUCUCAUUGUUCAAAUUUUCAUUUAGCUAAACAAAAGCGUUUGACAUUUCCAAUUUCAGACACAAUUUCAUCGUCUCCUGACAACCCGACUCUUGGUAGCUUGGCAUGUAAGGGUAUCAACAAAAUUUAUACCUAAGGUCCUUACACUAAAGUAGCAAAGCUACUAUAGCAUAGUGGCUCUAGGAUCGAACACUGGGAAGGGUUUUUACUUUAACUGGUGAAGUUCGGAGGAUGGAGUGAACUUUUCUUAAUAAAAAUUAGGUUAAGAUGAAAACAUAAAAAGAUGAAGGUGUUGUACUAAACUAACAUGAAAAUAGGUUAAAAGAUGGAAAAAGAAGUUUCUCAAAGCUUUGGAUAACCAUGUUUAACUCACUGUGUAAAAAUGGAGAUUUUGGAACUUUUCACCUCGAGUUGGGGAAGCAACUAAGGUGAUGCUUACUUCCCGAACCGGUAUGUGUUUAACAACUGAGUUUUAGUCCUUCAAAACUUACAAAAAGGGUAGCUGAACCUCAUAAAUGCUCUUUUAAUGAUAUAGGUCAUCUCCUCGACUUGCAAUACAAUGGCUCGUAGGAGAUAACUAAUGAACGUCAGUGGAUCUAACAAUAAGAAUCCACUGAGACCAAAAGGUUAUCAAGUAUUGGCCAUUCAAAGCAAGUCAGAGGGAUUAAAAGCUUUACUUUGAAUGAAAACAUUUAUGAUGCUCAACUACUUACAUUCAUGGCUUGGAAAUCUCCAUCCUGACACAGGAGCUUCACAUGACAUCCAUUACUUCAAGAAACUAAAAGGUUUUAGCCUCUCAUCCUUGGGGAUUUCAUCCUCCAAGGAUGUUUGGCUACUAAGAAAAUAGAAAAUAGUAGAGAGAAAAAGAAAGCAAAAGAUACUCUGUAUUUAGCUAAGUGUAAAAUUUACAUAAGUUGGUCUCCUGGGGAAAGUUCCCCGACCCUUUAAAAAUGAAAAUUACAAAACAAUAUAUAUCAGGUUGUUUACCCCUGUAUUCUUGCUUAACAACUAAGGAAUCAUCUAAUUGGUGGAUUACAAGGAGAGAAUUGGGAUUUAGACAACAAAUAUUUGAAGUAAAAUAUCAAAAAACGUCGGUCGCAAAUAUCUGGAAGCACUCAGGAGAAUUUCGCAGGCGCACAAAAUGGCUGCGAAAUUUCGCAGACGAACAAGAUGGCUGCGAAAUCAUUUCGCAGCCGAAGGCUGAUUUCGCAGCCAAAGGCUGAUUUCGCAGCCCUGCGAAAUUGGCCUUCAGCUUGGAGUGAUCUGCUUCCAUUGGCUCUAACUUCUUCAUUUCAACUUUGAUUUGCGAACCGUUUGAAGCAUUGGAUUGUUGGCUUCCCAAUCUUCGAAACGACAUAAAGUAUGCAUAAAUUGGACUUCAGAAAGUACUCCAAAAGUGGCUGAAAUGACUGUCAUAAAAAAUGCUUCAAGGUAGAUUCUCUCUUUACUUCUCCUCCUUGCAUUCCGGAUUGGUUAUGGCAAAGGACUUUAAGGCUUCAAAGCUCUGAUUCUUCAUGUUUCUGAGCUUUCCAUUGCUUUGCCAUGGAUUCCAAAUAACUCUCCUCCAUCUUGGAUUGCUUUGGUGAUCAAAUUACUAACAAAAACACCAAAACUUACACAAAGUGAUUAGAAGUGAUUGCAAAGGUCCUUAAUAUGUUAAUUGGGUUAAAAGGCAAUAAUUACUACUCAAAAGUGUUUAAAAGAGUUAAUUACAAGCUAUCAAAUAGCACUUUUUGAGUAGUAAUCAUCUCCUUUUGAAUUACUACACCUUGAUAUAUGGGGUUCUUUUCAUCACCCCACACAUGAAGGUUUUCGUUACUUCCUUACCAUUGUUGAUGCUUUUUUCUUGAUUUACUUGGAUAUACUUGCCGCAUGCUAAAUUUGAUGUCCUUGAUGUCUUUCCGACAUUUUAUAAUCUUGUUCAUACUGCAUUUGGUAUUAAAAUAAAAUCAGUGCAUUGUGACAAUGCUCCUAAGCUUUCUUUUUCAAAUUUCUUUCGAGAAAAAAGGAUUUUAUCUUUUCAUUCUUGCGUUGACAUGCCUCAACAAAAUUCAGGAGUUGAGCAUAAGCACCAACAUAUUUUAAAUGUUGCAAGAGCACUAUUGUUGCAAUCCAAUGUCCCAUUAGGAUAUUGGGGUGAUUGUGUAUUAAUUGCCACAUACCUUAUUAAUAAGACUCCAACACCUAUCUUAUCUAACAAAACUCCAUGUGAAGUUCUAUACAAUAAAGUUUCCUUCUAUACUCACUUUUGAGCUUUUGGUUACUUGUAUUAUCGUUCUAGCCUUACUCACCAUAGCACAAAAUUCUCUCCACGAGCCAUUCCUUUAGUGUUUCUUGGUUACCCACCUGGUUAUAAAGGUUACAAGUUGUUGAAUCUCUCCACCAAUGCCAUAUGCAUUAGCCGUGAUGUAGUUUUCCAUGAAUUUCUAUUUCCUUUUCGGUCCAUUGAUUCAAACUUUUCCUCUUGUGAUUUUUUUUUAAUCGAGUUCUUCCUUCUUCCAUUCACAAUUUUUUUUUUCUGUUUCUAAUGUUCCAAAACUUAUCUCACCCCCUACAGUCUUUACCAAACUUGCUGUCCCUUCCACUUCUCGUCCUGUUUGCCUCCCUAAACCACCAUUAUAUCUCCAAGAUUAUCAUUGUUAUUCCACAGUUUAAUCCACAUCUUCUGUAACAUAUCCUCUUUCUAGUGUUCUUGGCUAUGGUAAGCUCUCCUCUUCUCAUCAUGCUCUUGUUCAUGCCAUUUCUUCCCACAUUGAACCAACUUCCUUCUCUCAAGUUGUUGUGAUUCCAGAGUGGUACCAAGCUAUGCAGGCUAAACUUCAAGCUCUUAAACAAAAUGGUACAUGGUCUUUGACAUCUCUUCCUCCUGUCAAACAUCCCGUGGGAUGUAAAUAGGUCUACAAGCUCAAAUUUUGAGCUGAUGGUUCUCUUGAGCGUCACAAAGCUUGUCUUGUUGCAAAGGGAUAUACUCAACAAGAGGGUGUAGAUUAUCUUGACACCUUCUCUCCCAUAGCAAAAUUAGUCAUUGUCAAGUUUUUUUUUUUUGGCUCUUGUUGUGAUUCAUGGCUGGUUUCUCACUCAACUUGAUGUUGACAAUGCAUUCCUUCAUGGUGAUAUGACCUAAGGAGUUUACAUGUCCCUUCCUCCAAGGUAUCACUGUGAGGGGGAGUCCUCACCUUCCAAUGUUGUUUGCAAGCUCUACAAGUCAAUUUAUGGGUUGAAACAAGCUUCUGGAUAGUGGUUUGCAAAAUUUUAUGGUAUUCUGUUAGCUAAAGGUUUCACACAAUCAAUUGUGGAUCAUUCCUUGUUUACCAAAUAUGAUGGUGACUCCCAUAUUGCCUUAUUGGCAUAUGUUGAUGACGUUGUCAUUGUGAUCAACAAUUCCAACCAUAUUGAAGAUCUCAAAAGGUUUCUUGACAACCAAUUUAAGCUCAAAGACCUUGGAUAACUUAAAUAUUUCCUUGGUCUCGAAGUUCCUAGGACAAGUAAGGGGAUUUCAGUUAGCCAAAUACAUCACGCUCUUCAAUUGCUAUCUGAUAUAGGUUUUUUGGGAUGUAAACCUACAAGUACACGAAUGGAAGCUAAUAUCCAACUUUCUCAAGAUGAUGGGGAGAUUCUUGAAGAUGCUGGAUUGUAUAGGUGAUUGAUUAGCAAGCUCCUAUAUCUCACAAUCAUGCAACCUGAUCUAUCUUACUCAGUUAAUCGACUUAGUCAGUAUCUUGCCAACCCAAGAUCUACUCACUUGCAAGCUGUUCAUCGAAUUUUACAAUAUAUUAAAGGUACAAUUGGCCAAGGUAUGUACUUUCCUUUUUCUUCAACAACCCAACUCAAAGCCUUUACUGACUCAGAUUGGGGUGCUGUGCUUGUAAAGAUAUAAGAAGAUCCAUCAAUGGGUUUUGCAUUUUUCUUGGAGAAUCAUUGAUUUCAUGGAAGUUUAGGAAACAAAGUACAGUUCCACGCUCGUUAGCUGAGGCAGAAUAUCAAGCAAUGGAAAAUACCACUUGUGAACUAGUCUGGUUGAUGUCUUUCCUUCCUGAUUUUUGCAUUGAACACAAACAACCAACUAUAUUAUUCUGUGACAAUGAGGCAGCACUUCACAUUGCUGCCAAUCUUGUGUUUCACGAACAGACCAAACACAUCGAAAUUGAUUGCCAUCUUGUUUGUGAGAUGAUACAAACAGGUUGUCUCAAAACAAUGCAUGUAUCUUCUCAACAUCAAAUUGCAGAUCUCCUUACCAAGGCUCUCUUACCAACACAGUUUAAAUUUCUUCUCAACAAGAUGGGAAUUCACAAUAUUCAUUCUCCAUCUUGAGGGGGAGUAUUAGAAUAGCAGGGUAUUUUUGUAUUGGUAAUAAAUCCGUUGUAUUUUCUGUUUUGUAAUCUAGUGAGUCAGUUAUGGGUGUAGUUCUCUAGGCUCUAUAUAUAGGCAUGCUUUUGGGUAUUUUGAACUGAUCUUCAGAAAACAUGAAUGAAUAACAGAUUUUCGUUGUAAACCCUUUCCCUUUUUCUUCAGAAACAACUAACAAUAUUGAAACCCUUAAUUAACUAGCAUUUUUAUUUACUCUGGAUGAAGAUGGGGCUGAAGGAAGAGUGCUUGAAGUUAAUUUCCUUUGUAACCCAUCCAUUUUGCUUCAGCUAAGAUGAAGGAAGAAGAGAAAUCAGCCAAUAUAAGGUAGAUUCAAUUGGAGUUAGGGUUCUCUUACUUUAGCUUAUUGAAUCCUUAGGCCCAGCUAAUUAACCAGGAGCACCACCCACCAACAGUUUAUGUCCAUUGAUAAAUACAAUCCUAGUCAGUUCUACACUGCCACGACCUUAACCCCUGCCUUGAACACCAGACCUUGCUGUCCGGGAACGCUGGCCAGUAAUGGUUAAUAGAGUCCUAGGGAAACCACAGAAAAAUAAGACAUUCAUAGAUUUUUACAUACGUUCAUAGACUCUUGUAUUAACAUUUUUGACUCGUGUAACAUUUGAGGAAAAAAGUGUAAAAAGAAAAUGAAGAAGGAAAUUAAUAGAAGAAAAGAAAAUAUGAAGAAAAAUAAAUAAAAAUUUUAAAAUUAAUUAAUUAUUUUUAUAUAUUUCUUUAAAAUUUUAACUAAUUUUAAAAAUAUUUCAAUUUUUUAGUAUUUUUUUAUUAUAAUUUCAAAUUUAAAAAUUAUAUUAAAUUUUUUUUUUAUAUUUUUUAUUAUAAUGUCGAAUAAAAAAUUUCGGCACCUUAGUUUCUUAGGAGAUUUCUCUCUUCAAAUUCCUCUAUUCCCUUCAAAUUAUGUUCUCUCCAGUUCCCAUGGUUGGAACAGCAGCCAGUACUUGGGUACGCUAUGUCAUUUUGAUGGUGGUGGCGUUUUGGUGAGUUGUUUGUCACAAGCGCUCUGAGGCUGGUGGAUGUAGGUGGGUGGUGUAGUGGGGUUGGUGUGGCACUAUUGUGUUGUAGGUGGGGAUUGAAAUGCUUAAAUUCUGAUUCAAGCUCUCUCUCAUGUCUUUAUUCUUGGACUUUCAGCGCCUAUUUCUUCCGCCACAAUGUGUUUAUAUCAUUUGUUAAUCUGAGACUACUAUUAUGUGAUUCAUGAAAUUUUUGGAAUGAGGUAGUGCACAAUGUGUUUAUAUCUAUGUAGUGUGGAUUUUACCAUUAGCUAGAUACAAGCAACAGGGAAGUGCAAGAUAAUAUGUGUUCGUGUGUGCACCAGAAAAGAAUUUUAACCAGGGUGAAAUUCAAACUGUGGUUGUGGGCUAUAUCUACCGUGCUUCAAUUUUUUGAUAGGGAUAUUUGAUCAACAACUUUUGAAAAAUUUAUGAAUUCAACAAAAUAUCUCUUCAAUAUUAACAUUGCCUUGAAAAUGAUGAAGAAAUACAUCACAUUGACAAUCUUGUCAGGCUGUGCAGGAGAUAUAGUCCUUCUGAAACUUUCACAAUAUUACCCACCAUCAAACCUAAGAUAAUAUUUCACCCAACUUGCCUCUUCUCUUUUUGAUAAAGUAUCACAAUCCGUGAUGGUGUGGGCUCUUGCAUUAAAUUGUGUUUAAGCAUCAUGUCUAAUUUGUUUCAUUUGUUUUGCGAGUGUCAAACAUAUACAACUUUUUUCAUUUUUCAGAUUAAACAAGUUGGUUUCUAGGGAGGAUACUAGGUUUUGUGAUAGUAUGAAGCUAUUUGAUGUUUUCAGUGUGUAAAGAAGAAGUUAGAGGACUCCCUGUACUCUUUUGAUGAAGUAUGUAUGGGCAUUGAAGUCUUGAACGUUAAGCAAAUAAAGAAGUUGUAUAUUGAUAUAAUAAUACGAGGCAUGUACAUAUAUAACCUUAUGGAGAUCUUUCUGGUCCGCUUAAUUUCAAUGAUGUGUAUUUGCUUUGAAUUUGGGUUCUUGGAUAUGGUCUCAGUUGGAUAUGGCCAUCUUUGGAGGAAUACAAUAAUGUAUGAUCUCAAAUUUAACAGUAUCCAUUUUCUUUGGCAAGAAGAUGAUCUCAUAGAGAUAGUGUGGGAACUUUAGGUAAGAGGACUCUCAAAGAAUUGUAGGUAAGAAUAGUUAGGUGAAGUGAUCAAGCUGAACAUGAGAUGGAUUAUCCUAACCAGUCAAAAACACUAUGCGACAAAGGCCAUACUUUGUUCAUAAAUAACUGUGGUUCAAGUGUCUAGCGACAUGAUAAGGGGGACAUACCUGGUUGUUGCGAUCAAGAAUUGGUAAUUGGCAUUCUGAACAUACUUUAUUAUCAUUAAUUUUUUGUGAGAGGUGGUGCCUUAUCUGGUUGCGGAGGAGUCAAUUGGUGCGGCGAUUAGUAGGUAAUGGCAUUUCCACAUGCCAACAGCCAAUAAUACUAAUGACCAUGAAAGCGUCAAUCAGGGUGGCGCUGAUUGCAGGGCAACCUUGUGCAUCAAGAAUGAUUAGUACUAGAGAAUUCAACAAAUUAAGGUAUACCAUUCUGUUAUUCUUCCAUAAAACUUUCAACGCUGAAUGGGAGAAUAGGUUGGUUUUGACAACUUAGACUGUAGAAGUCUAAGCUUCCAUCUCGUUUUAGCCUAACUUUUUCCUUGUCCAAUAGUUUAUAUUUUCUUUCUUAUUUUCAGUAAAUUUUUUAUGCUAAAAACAUUGGCUUGUUCACACAUUAAUUCUAAUUAAACAGCAUGCAUGACAAUAAAAUACCACUAGAUGUUUUUCAGUUGCAUCUCUUUCAGCAUGUUUCAUAAUUUCGAAAUUUAAAAGAAAAAUCCUAUUCCUUUUUCCCCUUAAUCACUGCACCAUGCAUUCAAAGUAGUAAUUCUGUUUUGAGCAAGAUUUGCAUUUCAUAUGCAUAACAACUUCCAUAUGCAGUUACUGCUCCUUGUGUGACAAAUGGGGUUGAGAGUUGGGGUAUGCUUAUCCUUUUACUGUCAUGGUGAACUGAGAAUGGUUAGUUGUCCAUAAGCUCAAGGGCUUUGUUGGGAGGAAGAGGAAGAAGAAGAAGAAGUCCUUUUACUGUCAUAGAAAACUGAGAAUGGUUAGGUCCAUGAGCUCUAGGUCUUUUCUGGGAAGAGGAAGGCUAAAAGGAAGAAAAAGAAGAUACAACUGAUGUACGAAGAAGAAGAAGAUUAUCGUGAUAAUUGCAACUGGGACUAUAUAUAACUUGAAUAUUAAGGCAUACUACUCAAAUUUUCCACACUUGCCCUAACAAAUAAAAUAAGAUAAUCGUGGAAGAUGCUAGCAUAUAUAUCCUAAACUGAUCUAGGUAUCCUAUCCUAAACUACUUUAAAUGUUAAUUAAGGAAUGCAACAUCACUUAAAUAUUGUUGUCUUUCAAACAAGGCACACAACACAUCAAGUUAUCACACUACAUGGCAUUUAUUUAAUAAUAUACUAAUUAAUUGAACUGGAACUGACAAACUUCAAUUUAAGAUUAUUUCUGAUUAAUUUGCUGCACAUCCAUCUGGGACUUGGCAUCAUGAAGGCGUUUCUCUUGUGACAGUACUUCUGCAAACCUGUGACAUUGAGAGCAAUUCGAUCAGUAUUAAUGAAUGAUAGAAGAACAGGUGGCAUAUGUAGAGGGGCUUGUUUAUUAAUCCGGCAUAUUGAUGUUUAUGAUCACAUGCGUUCUCAUCUGAAAUGAAAUUACUAUGUAGUUUUGAUUCAAUAAUUAGUGGACAGAAUUUUAUACAGUAAACAGAUUUACAAUGAGAACUGAAUCUAAGACUAAUUUGAUACCUCAUGAGAGCCUCUUCAUUUGUCUGUUCACUUGAAGGCUCCAAAUUUGAUACCACAAUCAGUUGGCUUUAUAGAAAAGAAAUGAGGAUUUCCCCCACAAAUCUCGUUAGUCACUUUGCCACUGGAAAUUAAAGCCUGAAAGGGAUCAAUAGUAGGUCACAAUUAUUACAACAAUUCAUCACUCAUUUGUGUUUCAGUAAUAGAUAUACAAUACCGGAUUAUUGGAAGCUACUCCAUCAAUAAGAUUGAAAUUUUCUAACUCUCCCUGUGACAUAAUCUUUGAGAGAUAAGUUGGAGCAGCUAGCUGAAGUUCCUAUGCAUAUCACCGAGAGUAAGGCAUCUAUGCUUGGGUGCUGUUUGACCUAGAUCACCAUGAAUAUCAAUAGUAAGUAAGUUUCUUUUCUGAUAAUGAGGACCAUGAAAAAAAAUGGUGAAAUAGUACAUUCCAAAGAUUUUUGUAUGCAUAACUAACUAAACCUUAAUGUUGGAGAAGAUGGUGAUGAACUACCAAUUUUCUUGAAAACUUAAGUUUGAAGGAUUUGAGUUCAAUAUGCAUAUCAUGCUCCUUAACACUCUCAUGUGAUCCUUAACACCUUCCCUCACAUGCGGUCCCAUCCCCGCACGCAAAGAGAUAAACAAAAUUUGGAUUCAUAUUUAGAAAAACAAACAGGAGAUAUGCAAAUUAAGACCUCCAACCAAACUAAGCUUUAAUACCAUCUUGAACUACUAAUUUUUCAAAAAGCUUAAACUCAUAGUAUUUGGGUUCAGUAUGCAUAUCAAAUGAUGGUUAUUCUUUUGUAAUAGGAUGCAUAUUAGGUCUCAUAACCAUUCUUUUACUCAAAGGGUGUCUUAAGUUGACCCUAAGUUAAAUUAUUCUUAAAUUGUUAACUUAAAAACUUAUUAGUUAUUUUUAAAAAAAAUUAUUAAAGUUGUUUGGUAAAGCUAACUUAAAAUCUAUUUUAAAUUAUCAAAUAUUUGUUUUUGUAAUAUUUAGAUUUUCUUAUAAAAUAAAGAAAGUUAUUAAAAAUAUUUUCAUAAAUAUUUUAACUCAUGAGUGAAAAAGGUUAUAAGAUAUACAUGAAGACUAAUAUGUGGUGAAUAGCCAUAUAAUAAAGAAUGGUUGGGAAUCAAUAGUCAUAUCUAGUUUUUGGCCUCUAAUACUUUCUAUGACAUAAUGAUUAAAAUGGUAGACUGUUUUAUUUUUAUAAAGCUUUCGCUAGCAUAACACUACUUCUAACCUAAAAAAUGUAGAAAAUUUUUCAAAAUUAUUUCAAAAUAUGCUUAAACAGUUUUAAGUACUUGGAAUUAUAAAAGAUGAGAGGGAUCAAUUGUAAUGAGUUAUUUAAAUGAUAUAUUAUGAAUUCAAAAAAGAAGAAAAAAAAAAACCUUUAGGAGUCAAGAUACCUAAAACUUAGCUAAAGGGACUGGUAGAGUAUUUUAUGGAAGCAAGAUUCUCAAGCCUCAUACUCUUUUAAAAAAAAUGAAAAUAUCUUCUCUUUUAUUUCUCCUUAUAAUCUUUGGGAAAAAAAAAACGGAAUAUAAAGAGAUAUUAUAAAUAUAUAUAUAUAUUCUCUAUAAUUUCUCUUAAAAACCCCUCCAUAUUCCUCUUUAAUGUUGUGGAAAAGAAACUAAAAUAAAUACGUUAAUGCAUAUGACAAUGUUUCUACUUAAAGUGUAUUUAAUAUAAAUAUUUUUUCUAUUAGUAAUUUUAGGAAAAUCAUUUAUCAUUUAUUAAAUGUUUCUUUAAAAAGUGCUAGCUAUAAGUUAAUUUUUCAUAUUUUUAAAAUAUUUUCUUAAUUUUAUCAAAUUCUAUUUUAAUUUUCAAAAAUAAUUUUUUAAAUUAAAAAUACUUUCCAAAAUCAUGACACCAUCGAAUAAAUAUUUAUCAUAGUUAUCAGUUUAAUCACCACAUAAAAAGUUGAUGUGGUCCAAAAUGAUGUAGGUAGGUAGGUGAGCGGGAUUGAAUAAGCAUUUGGAUUGUAAAUUGUUCACUGUUUUUUAAAGUUGUGUAGUGAUAAUUUUUAAAGAAAAGUCGCUCCAAGAACCCUACUUCCACAUAAUAUUAAAUAAUUUAUACCUGAAGUUGAGGUUCCAGGCAAGCAAGGAUAGUUGCAGGAAUGAUGCCCCUGAUACCACCUCCAUCAAUACUAAGAAUGGUGACUAGGUUACCAUAAGUUGGGGGCUGGAUUUGAGGUAAGAGUGAUUUCUCCAUCUGAAAAAUGAUAAUUAUAGGAUUGUAUGCACUAACUUACAACAAGAAACUAAGAAAUCCUUGGAUAAAAGAAAGAUGUGAAGAAAAAGAAAAGAGCUUGAGGCACCAAGAAAGAUGGCCUUGAGCAAGAAAAGGAUGAGAAAAAAGAAACAAUGCUCGAGUUGUCUUCCCUCUUGUGUUGGAUUGCAUUGUCCAGAAUCUAUUUAUAGGCUAAUCGAGCAGCAAGGCACGUGCUAUAGAAUGCGGUUACUGACGAGUAGGUAAUGUGAUAUGAUGAUGAAGUCUGCUUCUGGCACAGAGCUCCUUUCCCAGGUAUUCUUUUAGUUUAUGUAUGAAGGAUUUAUCUGAAAAUAAAGUCUAAGCUUGCUGCUUCUUCUAGGGUAGCAUACCAUAUAAAGUCUAAGCUUGAUAUUUUAUGAUAGUACAACUAGCAGUCUGCUUUGUCAUGCUGUUGCAUCCUCCUAUUCUUGUAUUUGUGUGUAAGGGACAAAUCAAACUUUGAGGAUUGCAUGACAACACGACACUAUGCUCAUCACAGAUGUUCAAUUGUUCAGUAUAUAUAAACAUGAAACAUAUAUUUUUAUUUAUUUAUUUAUUUUUUAAUAUAUAAAACCAUGAUUUCGUUACAAAUAGAAGUAAACAUUUUAUCAGUGUUUUCAUUCACAUGUACACGCCCUAUAAAUAUUAAUCAUUUUCCAUCUCACCUGAUGAGAAUAAAAAUGCAUAAUAUACCAUUGUGACUCCAUGCAUGAAUGCAUUCCAUAGUGAUACAUGAGCUUAGCAUCUCCAGCUGGAGUUGCUUACAUGAAGCAUCCUUCCAAUUUUCAACUCUUUUUUUACACCUUUCUCCAUCUUUUUCUCUUUUCCAAUUGAGUUCCUCCAUUUUUUACCAUCAUUUGAUUCUUUCUUGGCUUUUCUGAAUUUCAUGUACUUCUUGAAUUUUUUAGCAAACUUAGUAAGCUCACCCUCCGACAUUUUCUCAUCAUCCUCACUUUCGGAACUUAGGGACUCUUCUUUAAUAGCUUUUAAAGCAAUUCCCUUAGCUUUCCUAGGUGAUACAAGAGUAAUCUCAAAGGUUUGGAGGGAACCUACAAGUUCAUAUAUCUUCAAGGAAUCCACAUCCUUAGACUCUUUAAUGGCGGUGACCUUAGCUCUAAAUCUCUCCGGAAGAGAUCUUAAAAUUUUUCGAACCACCUUAAAGUUAGAGAUGGGUUCACCUAGAUUGAAGCUAGAAUUCACAAUGUCCAUCAGUUUUGCAUGAAAUUCUCCAAAAGUUCCAUGAUCAUCCAUUCUAGUGGUCUUAAACCUAGAUGUCAACAUUUGAAGUUUGGACACUUUCACGACAUUAGUUCCUUCAUGAGUCACUUGGAGGAUAUCCCAAGCUUACUUAGCCGAAGUACAUGUAGCAAUCCUACGAAAUUCAUCCGUACUAAUGGCAUUGAAGAUGGAGUACAUGGCUCUAGCAUUAUUCUCACUUGCUUCAUUUUUACUUCUAUCCCAUUCCAAUUUAGGCUUGAUAACAUUAGUUGGUCUACCUUCUUUAUCCAACACCUUAGGUGGAGACCAACCAAAUUCAACGGAGUUCCAAACUUUUUCACUUUGCAUUUUGAGAAAAUAUUGCAUUCUCACUUUCCAAUGAGAAUAAUUUUCGCUAGUUAAAAAUGGUGGUCUCCCAAUGGAAACUCCCUCUUGAUGAGGUUCCAUGAUUGAGAUUCAAUGACUGAAAAUGAUUUUUUUCUUUAAAAACCUGCUUUGAUACCAAUUGAAAAGGUAAAUCUCAAUACAUCUAGAGGGGGGGUGAAUAGGUGUUGUAGAACAAUUUAAAAUUUUUCCCAACAAAGAUUACCUAACCUUAGACUUUCUCAAUAUCAAGAAACUUCUCUUCCAACAACUAUUCAACAAAGCAUAACAUCCACAAGCAAGAAUGUAUGCACCAACACUCUCCCAACAAUUUAUAAAUGCAAUACACAUGCAAAUGCUUCAACAAUCCUAAAAAAUAAAUCAAAAGAACAAAUAUCUCCUCAACUCAUAUCAAUUUACUUCAUGAUAUCAUUAACCAAAAUGAGCAGAAAAAUUAUUAAGGAUAUUCCAUGGAUCAUUACACUUAUAUCACCUCAUAUUUCUUCCAUUCAACAUGUUUGCCCAAGUAAUCAAUGAUAUCAAAAACAUAAAUUAGAUCAAAGUGUAAAGUGAGAGAAAGAGACAAUUAACACCGGAUUUUAACGUGGAAAACCUCCGAAGAGAUAAAAAACCACAGGCCUACCACCAAUUGAAAAACUCCACUAUGAAGAAUAAAAACCGAGUACAAGGUUUUACCUAGCUUAAGCCAACCAAUCAUUCCUGGACCACUUGACUAGUACCUUCACUUUCAGCUUCUCACCUUCAUCUUUCGGAGCACACUUGGAGUCCGCACCAAGCUCAAUCUUGGCAUCUUCUUGAAUCCACACAAGAAGAAAAUGAUUUUUUGCACAAACCCAAAUAGAAUGAGAGAUUGAGAUAUGAAUGAAGGAAUGAAUCAACCCAUUUAUUGCUCAAGAAAAUCCAUUAAAAACUAGUUUGGAAAACGUUAAGAGAAUUGGAUUUUCUUUGCAACCAAAAACCCCCAAAUUAGGAAAAGAGAUGAGAAAAUGAAAAACACAUGGAGUGGCUACAGCUCUCUCCACAUUUUCUGCAGUCUCUACCCAGAAAAUGAGAGAAGAAUGAUUUUUAAAGUGUCAAAAGAAACCUUUAAUCUAAUGGCUAAGAUUUGAUCUUAAAAACAAGUUAGUUGGAUCAAUCUGCCCCUGAACUUGGAUCGAUCCAAAAAUAGGGGAAUAAAAGCCUUGCACUAAAAACCAUUUCUCCCAUCUUUCUAACACAUUUAAAGAUUAAAAACAAGGUUGAUUCACAUUCAAUCAUCACACACUUGGCUACAUACCUCGGCCUCUUAGCAAAGUCUUAGUCUUCAAAGUCAAGUAGUCCGAAGAGGAAUUGGAAAGACGAGUUAGGGGACACUUAAGAAUUUUGUCUAGAAUUGCCAACCUAGCUAAACACUCACAGAAAGGGCUGCUCAACUAUGGAAAUCUGGUCGCCCUAGUGAAUUAGUGAACAAUUCACUGGAAGUUUCAAAUUUCUUACACAGCGUGGCCUAUUCAUUUUCAAGUUUAGCUAAACCUAGAGUAGAAAUAAUACUAAUACAGGAUAAUUCCAACUUCUCUAUAGAAUUGGGAUUAUGGGUACAUAUUGUCACGGACUUAGUCGUUCACUAAGCUCGUGCGACACUUAGGCAAGUCAAGACGCUUGAUCUUGCUAAGUCAGCCUACCCCCAAUGCUUAGCUUGCUAGGCUAAGAUGCUCACGACUCGAAAGCUUGAGAAGCUUAGUAGGAAACUCUUUAAAGAACGGAAGCUCUUAUUAACUCAAAGAAGCCUUUACAAGUGCUUGGAAGCUCACUUGCUUUGGUGCCUUGGCCAAAUGAGGCCCUCACCUAUAUAUAGGCACCAAUAGAACUCUCUGGAACCUUGGAGGGUUCCUUACAACUCAAGACUAUUCUAGAAUGUCCUACAUCAUUCUAGGUACAAGCCUAUGUACAAGUAUAUACAAGAGACUUCUGGAAUUCUCUAGAAAGCCCUAGACUCCUCUCAUGCCUUCCACCAUAGUGUAGAAUUGUGUGGAUUUCUCCAGGCUUCUCUAGAACCUUCCACACUCUUCCCACUCUAGGAGUUUCCAGAAGCUUCCUGGCUCUAUAUAAGCCCACAGGGAGGCUCAUUUGAAUCAGCUUGUGACACUCUCCCCCACUUAAGCUGCAGAAGUCCUCGUCGCACUUUCUACUCGGAAUCGCUCAAUUUGCUCCUAGAACUGCCAUAGGGCAUCUGCUGGCUCCCAACUAGCCUCGCUCUCUGGUAGUCCCUUCCAUUUCACUAAGUAUUCCGUAGCAGGAGGUACAUCUCGUCUCCUGAUGACCCGGUCUGCAAUGAUGUGGUCCAUCUCCUUCUCAUAGGAGGUCACGACCGUUGUAGGUGCCCUCUUAGACAACCCUUGGCUCGGAUCAUCCUUGUCUUCGUGAUAGGGUUUCAAGUAACUUACAUGGAAGAUAAGAUGAAUCUUCAACCUUGGUGGUAGCUCAACUCUAUAGGACACCUUGCUGACCUUCCCAAGUAUGGGGAAUGGUCCUUCAUACCUUCUCACCAGGCCCUUAUGCAUCGGCCUUAGGGAUUUGAAUUGUUGAGGAAGGAGCUUGACAAGCACCAUGUCUCCGACCUUGUACUCCGUGUGUCGUCGCUUCUUGUCAGCCCACUUCUUCAUUUUCUUAGCGUCCUUGUCCAAGUAUGAGCGUGCUAUGUCAGCUUGCUCGUGCCACCCUUUCGCGAACUUGAAGGCCGCUAGACUUUUCCUCGUAUAGCCAAUCGUUAGAGUGUGAGGAGUUAAUGGUUGUUGCCCUAUGGCUAGCUCGAACGGGAUCUUAUUGGUUGCCUCACUCUUUUGCAGGUUGUAUGAGAAUUGGGCUAUGUCUAGCAGCUUAGCCCAAUCCUUCUGGUUGGCACUACCCGACCACACCAAGGUCUUUGAAGUACACACAGAUGCCUUAGACUUCGCUAUUGGGGGAGUCCUUAUGCAAGAAAGGCACCAGAUCGCAUUUGAGAGUCGCAAGCUAAACGACACAGAGAGGCGUUACACGGUGCAGGAAAAGGAGAUGACUGCCAUCGUCCACUGCUUGCGCACUUGGAAGCAUUAUCUUUUGGGGUCUCACUUCAUAGUGAAGAUUGACAAUGUUGCCACUAGCUACUUCCAGACACAAAAGAAGCUAAGUCCUAAAUAAGCUAGGUGGCAAGACUUUCUAGCCGAGUUCGACUAUACGCUGGAGUAUAAGCCAGGAAGUGUUAAUCAUGUGGUUGACGCCCUAAGCUGCAAAGCGGAGCUAGCGUCCAUGAUGAGUCAGCCCCAAGGAGACAUAAUGGAUAUUCUAAGGGAAGGACUGCAACAUGAUCCAGUGGCUAAGAGUCUCAUUGUCCUGGCUCAUGAAGGGAAGACCAAGCGGUUUUGGGUGGAGGACGACCUACUAUACACUAAGGGGAGACGACUUUACGUGCCUAAGUGGGGAAACAUAAGGCGGAAUCUGACAAAUGAGUGCCAUGACACCAAGUGGGCUGGGCACCCUGGGCAACGACGCAUGAGGGCACUACUCGAGUCGGCUUACUACUGGCCUCAGAUACGGGAUGAGGUUGAGGCCUAUGUGAGGACUUGUCUUGUGUGCCAACAAGACAAGGUGGAGCAACGACAACCUAGAGGCUUGUUGGAGCCACUACCUGUAGUAGAGCACCCAUGGGACAGCGUCACCAUGGACUUCAUCAUUGGGCUACCCAAGUUAGAGGACAGCGGCUCUAUCAUAGUGGUGGUGGACAGGUUCUCUAAGUAUGCAACCUUCAUAGCAGCCCCAACUGACUGCACCGCGGAAGAGACGGCGAGGCUAUUCCUAAAACAAGUAGUCAAGUAUUGGGGGUUACCCAAGUUCAUCAUCAGUGAUCACGAUCCGCGUUUCACUAGGAAGUUUUAGACGAAGCUUUUCAAGCUUAUGGGUUCGGAGCUUCACUUCUCCAUAAGCUUUCACCCACAGAUGGAUGGGCAAACAAAGAGGGUGAACGCCUUAUUGGAGCUCUACCUAAGGCACUUCGUGAGUGCCAACCUGAAGGAUUGGGCUAAGCUGCUAGACAUAGCCCAGUUCUCAUACAACCUACAAAGAGUGAGGCGACCAAUAAGAGCCUGUUCGAGCUAGCCACAGGUCAGCAACUGUUAACUCUUCACACUCUAAUGAUUGGCUAUACGGGGAGAAGUCCAGCGACCUUCAAGUUAGCCAAAGAGUGGCACGAGCAAGCUGACAUAGCACACUCAUACUUGGACAAGGCCGCUAAGAAAAUGAAGAAGUGGGCUAACAAGAAGCGACGACACAUGGAGUACAAGGUCGGAGACAUGGUGCUUGUCAAGCUCCUUCAUCAACAAUUCAAAUCCCUAAGGUCGGUGCAUAAGGGCCUGGUGAGGAGGUAUGAAUGACCAUUCCCCAUACUUGGGAAGGUCGGCAAGGUGUCUUAUAGAGUUGAGCUACCACCGAGGUUGAAGAUUCAUCCCGUCUUCCACAUAAGUUACUUGAAACCUUAUCACGAAGACAAGGAUGAUCCAGGCCGAGGGUUGUCUAAGAGGACACCUACAACGGUCGUGACCUCCUAUGACAAGAAGGUGGACCACAUCAUUGCAGACCGGGUCAUCAGGAUACGAGGUGUACUUCCUGCUACGAAAUACUUAGUGAAAUGGAAGGGACUACCAGAGAGCGAGGCUAGCUGGGAGCAAGCAGAUGCCCUAUGGCAGUUCCAGGAGUAAAUUGAGCGGUUCCGAGCAGAAAGCGCGACGAGGACGUCUACGGCUUAGGUGGGGGAGAGUGUCACAAGCUGAUUCAAAUGAGCCUCACCAUGGGCUUAUAUAGAGCUAGGAAGCUUCUAGAGACUCCUAGAGUGGGAAGAGUGUGGAAGGUUCUAGAGAAGCCUGGAGAAAUCCACACAAUUCUACACUAUGGUGGAAGGCAUGAGAGGAGUCUAGGGCUUUCUAGAGAAUUCUAGAAGUCUCUUGUAUAUACUUGUACAUAGGCUUGUACCUAGAAUGAUGUAGGACAUUCUAGAAUAGUCUUGAGUUGUAAGGAACCCUCCAAGUUUCCAGAGAGUUCUAUUGGUGCCUAUAAAUAAGUGAGGGCCUCAUUUGGCCAAGGCACCAAAGCAAGUGAGCUUCCAAGCACUUGUAAAGGCUUCAUUGAGUUAAUAAGAGCUUUCGUUCUUUAAAGAGUUGCCUACUAAGCUUUUCAAGCUUCCGAGUCGUGAGCAUCUUAGCCUAGCAAGCUAAGCAUUGGGGGUAGGCUGACUUAGCAAGAUCAAGCGUCUUGACUUGCCUAAGUGCCGCACGAGCUUAGUGAACGACUAAGUCCAUGACAAUAUGCUGGAAAUACUUUGUUCCUUAUGGUCUUUGUAAAGCUUAUGUUGAUCUUUUUAAUUAGUGGCCUUGACCAUUCCACCAUUCCAAAUUAAGCUAUCACUUCAUUUCAAUACCACAAUCCAUGCAUGAACUAUUUUAUUCUGAGAUAUUUUUUUUCACCAUAUAUAAUGAUGCUAAAUAAAAGGAACUAAAUAAAAAAUCAAAACAUAGGACCCUGCAUCACACCUCUCUAGUUUACUUACAGACUCAAUACUUCACAUAUAUAUGCAAUGCCUUCUCCUGGUUAGAUCUUUCAUUUUCACAAAUUGAACCUAUAAACCCAUAUAUAAUAGGAUGGGUAACUAACCAUGGCAGAACUAUUACUUUUCAUGGAAGCUAGCUAGAUAUGAUCUAAUGUAAUUAACAAUGCAUUCCUGAUUCUUUGUGAUGCUUUAUAACCUAGGAAGUCCAUUUGCUUACCAUUUAUCACAUAUAUAGACUUGAUCUGAUCAAGGCAAUAAAUAAUGGCAAUCCUUUAUAGCCCAACUACUUUUGUUUAAGGGUUUUCUUUUACCAUGCAUACCUUUGAUAUCUCAACUUAUGUGCAUCAAUUAACAUAUAUGAGAUAGGGGUUCAUGUCUUCCUAGUAUGCACAACUUUCUACCAAAAAGUCUUGCGUGUGGAGGUAUGAUUUAAGGUCCUGGAUGAAAUGAGAAAAAUGAGCCUGCUUAGAUGAAGAUGGGGUUGAAGGAAAAGUGCUUGAAGUUUUCUUAGUAAUCCAUCCAUUUUGCUUCACCUAAUUAGAUGAAGGGAGAAGCGCAAAUAUAGAAGGUAGAUUCACUUGGAGUUUCUCUUAUUUUACCUUAUCAGAUCCCUAGACCUAGCCAAUUAAUUAACCAGGACCACCAUCCACCAAUGGUUUAUGUCCAUUUAUAAAUACAGUCAAUUAUAUGCUGCCACGUCCUUCAUUGUAACCCCUGCCUUGUAAACCGGUCCUUGUUGUUUGGAAACGCUGCCCAGCAAUGGUUUAAUAUAGUAUGAGAGAAACCACAGAAAAAUCUAUAGGACAUUCAUAAAUUUUUACCUACCGCAUAUUGACCUGGUCUCUUGCAUUCACUAUUUUGGCUCUUAAAAGUAAGGGUCUCCAAAAAGCCCGCGGCUCGGCCUAAGCCCGGCCUGGCCUGGCGGGCUAAAGCUCGGCCCGAGCCCAUUUUUGGAUGGGCCGGGCCAUGGGCCCCAAAUUAGGCCCAGCCUGUAGGCCCGCCCAUAGGCUCGCCCGUAGGCCCGCCACUUUAAAAAAAAUAUAUAUAUUAAAAAAAAUAUUCAAGAAAUAGAAAAUGUUACAUUAAUAAAAAUAUUCAUUGUUAACUAUUUUAUUCAUUGAAUGUAUACAUUACAUUUGAAAAUGUGGGAAAAGUUUACAUUACUACAAAAUAAAUACAUCCCAACUAGGUUGGCAUCUACUUAUUUGUCAAUCAUUUGUACUUUUCAACCAUAAAAAUAAAAAUAAAAAUAAAAAUAUGACAUACAUUUAGUAAAAUAUUUUAAUCAUUAUCUCUUGGCGGUGAUGGCGAACUAGUGAAAUUGAAAGGUUGUUCUGCUCUUAUUAUAUAACCAAUCAUUUCUUCACGACAAUAAGAUUCAUCAUAAGAAAAUGUUUUUAAAUUUCCACUUUCAUCUUUACCUAAUUGCAUAUAAUUUCUAAUAUCUACAUUAUUUUUAAUUUUACAAUUUUCAUGAUGCCUUUUUAAAUGACUUGUACCUGCAUUUGAGCCACCACUAAGAAGUUUGUUACAAAUUUUACAUUUUGCUUUUAGUUCUUUUUUAUUAUUUUCUAAAUUUAUUUCUAUUCUAUAAAAAAAAUUCCAUAUAUUUGAAGUAAAUUUUUUGCUAUCACAUGCAUUAGAUGAAGAACAAGAACCACUUGUCAUAAUUAUAAUUAUUGAUAAAAUAUUAUGCUAAAAAUAAUAAAUGUAAAAUUAAAAUGUAACAAAUAAAUAAAAGAAAAGGUGAAGUAUGUUACUAAAUUGGAGAACCGAAGCAGAAAUUCCUUCAAAUUUGAACUCUUUGAACCACCAAUGCUUGUUUUUCACCACCAAUAAUAUUGAAUAAUUUGAGACAAAAUGCAAUAAUCGGAAAUAUUGUGGAAUGGGAGAGAGCUUAAGAGUUGAGAAAAUAGAAAAAAAUUGAGGGUAUUUAAUAUUUAUAGAGGUUUAAAUAUUAGGAUUUAUUUAUUUAUUUUUUUUAAAUUUCAAGACCGUUCAACGGUCAUAUAUUUGAAAUUGAAUUAUGAGUGGCAUGUUCAACGGUCAUGUAACCGUUGAACAACCAACUCACUUUUAUUUUUUUUCAAAAAUCAUACAAUAUUUCUAAUAUAUAUAUAUAUAUAUAAUUAAUGCAAAAUAGUUACACAAAAGAGGGCCAGCUCAGUUGGUGGCUAGCUCCCUUAUGGUUCCAUAAGGAAAGGAGUUCGAAUCCCCUUCCCUUCAAAAUUAAAAAUUAUUUUAAUUUUUACCCUAGCUCGCCAAGCUCGCCAAGCCCACCCAGCUUGAGGGCCUACGGGUCGGGCACAGGCCUUAGAUAUAUCAAGGGCCCGGCCAGGCCCGGCCCGGCCUGUUGGAGACCCUUACUUAAAAGUAAGUGGACCAGGCCUAACAUGGGCACUGAAUUCAAUACCUAGGUGCAUAAAGGUCUUCUGUUUAAGAAUAUGCCUCAAAGACUUACAAUGGUCAAUAGCUGACUACUCUGCCCAUAUGAUUCUUCGUCUGUGCCACACACGAAUCUUUUUAAUUAUUUUGUGUCAAACAUACCCGACUUUAUAGUUUCUGACUUCUUCAGGUUUUUGCUUGUUCCAUAUCUAGCAGGUUUUUAACUUUUAUGGAGUCAACAAUUUCAAGCAAGUGACAUCUUAAAUGUUGUUUUCUACAAAAAAACAAAAAAAAAAAACCAGAAAUGUAACUCACUUGUAUCCAAUCGAAGAUUGUAGCAAAAUUGAAUUGCAAACCAAACACACAAAAGAAGUCCAAAAGAAUAUUUCUUUCUUUCACAGUUCAUUAGCAAUAUUACAGUCUACCCGUGAUUAUUCACUCUCUAAACAAUGGUUAUGAAUCUAAAUGCAAAGCCUGAGGGAUACGAUUGGGAGUAGCUGAGUAAAACAAGGUCAUAUCAUCUCUGCUUGUCCCAUUCGACCUGAAAGAAAGCAAGGUAUUGCUUAUCAUGCCUCCACUGGUGCCUCUAGUUCUGCUGCAUUGCUUGCUGCCUCAUCAAUUGUUCUUAUUCAUGCUCCUACAGUCUUAGCAAACCUGGAUACACUCACUCCUGAAAUGGUACAACAAAUUAUCAUUUCUAUUUUUUCUGCUUUUGGGCUCUCAGGUAAUCAUACGAUUUCUUCUAAGCCAUGGUAUUUUGACUCUGGAGCUUCUAACCAUAUGACGAAUACUGUUUUUUCUCUUUCCAAUGUUAGAAAUUAUGAUGGAAAUCUGAAAAUUAACACUGUUGAUGGCAGUUCUCUGCCUAUCAGUGCUGUUGGUGAUCUUUCCUCUUCCUUAAUUGAUGUUUUUGUGUCUCCUGACCUCUCGAAAAAUCUUAUUUUUGUUGGUCAAUUGGUUGAUAAUAAUUGUAAUGUCAAUUUCUCCCGUUCUGGUUGUGUUGUGCAGGAUCAAGUGUCCGGGAAGAUGAUCAUGAAGGGGCCUAAAGUGGGACAACUCUUUCCUCUUCAUGUUUCUCCUUUCACUAUUAUUUCUAGUUUUCAUUUACUUUUCUUUGCAUGUAAUGUUGUUGGUUUUGGACAUAAGAUGUGGCAUAGACGUCUUGGUCACCUAAACUCUGAUGUACUUCGUACUUUGUUUAAUUCUGGAUUAUUGGGAAAUAAAACAUGUUCUUCUCUUGAUAUUUAUUUCGAUUGUACGUCAUGAAAACUUGGUAAAAGUAAAGUUCUACCUUUUCCUCAUUCCGCAUCUCAUGCCUCACAAUGUUUUGAUAUUAUACAUAGUGAUCUUUAGGGGAUUUCACCUAUUGUUUCUCAUGCACAUUAUAAGUACUUUAUUACUUUCAUUGAUAACUUUAGUUGUUUUACUUGGGUUUAAUUCCUCCGGGCUAAGGCUGAAGUUUUUUCAGUCUUUAAGCACUUUUUUGCACUUAUUGAGACUCAAUUCUCUACCAGCAUCAAGGUCUUGUGCUCUUAUUCUGGCGGAGAAUACAUGUCUAAUGAGUUUCAAGACUUUCUUCAAGGCAAAGGGAUCAUCUCUCAGCGUUCUUGUCUUUCGACACCACAACAAAACGGUGUUGCUGAGAGGAAAAAUUGCCACCUUCUUGAUAUGGUAAGAACUCUUUUACUUGACUCAUUGGUUCCUCCUCAUUUUUGGUGUGAAACACUUUCUACUGCAAUUCAUUUGAUCAAUCGCUUACUCUCUCCUAUGUUAAAUCAUGUUUCUCCUUUCUCUAAGUUGUUUGAUCAUUCUCCUUUAUAUUCUGAUCUUCGUACAUUUGGUUGUGUUUGUUUUGUGCAUCUACCUACUCAUGAACGACAUAAGCUUACUACUCAGUCUGUUAAGUGUGUUUUCUUGAUUAUGUUAUCCCUCACAAGGGUUAUGUUUGUUAUGAUCCCUGUGCCUGUUGUAUACGAGUUUCCUGGAAUGUGAUUUUCUUUGAAAUAUCAAUAUUUCUUUCCAUCUCAUGUUGAGCUCCAUCUAUAUCUGUAUCUCUUCUACCUAGUUUUUCCGAAUCCCCAACAAUUGUGGAAAGGUUCAAACCUGGUUUUGUGUAUGAAAGACGUAGUCAACAUGAGUCCGGUUCCACUUCCUCUAUGCCCCAUUCCGAUCUUGACCCGACGCCUGAUCCUACUCCUGCUUCCACCACUCUUCGUCGGUCUACUCGUCUUUCUUGACCCCCUGAUUGGUAUGGAUUCUUCUCUCCUGUCUCUCUUGUUACUACUUUAUCCAAUAUUUCUAUUCUCUUUUGCUACAAACAGGCCAUGGAACAUGAGUGUUGGCAAAAUGCAAUGCAAGCAGAACUUCAAGCACUUGAGGAGAAUCAUACUUAGGAUAUUGUUCCUUGUCCUGCUAUAGUCAAACCUAUUGGGAGUAAAUGGGUUUUCUCUGUAAAACUUUGUUUUGAUGGCUCUUUGGAUUAGUACAAAACUCGUCUCGUAGCUUUGGGUAACAAGUAGGAAUAUAGGGUUAAUUAUGAGGAGACAUUUGCUUUUGUUGCCAAAAUGACCACGGUUCGUACCAUCUUAGCUAUUGUUGCUUCACAAUCAUGGCAACUACAUCAGAUGGAUGUAAAGAAUGUUUUUCUUCAUGGUGAUCUCCAGGAAGAGAUUGACAUGAAGCUUCCCUCUGGUAUGAUUAAUUCUUCUCUCAUGAUGUUUGUAAGCUAAAACGUUCUUUGUAUAGGCUCAAGCAAGCGCCCCAAGCUUGGUUUGAGAAGUUUCGUAGUACAAUUCUUUCCUUUAGUUUUACCCAAAGUUAGUAUGAUUCUUCCAUCUUCUUCCACACAUCUGCGUUGGGUAUAGUCCUUCUCUUGGUUUAUGUGGAUGAUAUUAUCAUUACUGGCACUGACUGUGGUUUGAUUACUAAGCUUCAGCGGAUGUUACAUACAACUUUCCAUAUGAAAGAUCUUGGACAGCUCACAUACUUCUUAGGAUUGGAAGUUCAUCAUUGGGCUAGUGGUAUUUUCGUGAACCAGCAUAAGUAUAUUCAAGAUCUUAUCACUUAAUUUGGCUGGUUUGGCGGACACUUCUUCUGUUGAUACUCCUAUGGAGGUAAAUGUCAAAUACAGGAAAGAUGAAGGGAACCUUCUGGAUGAUCUUACUCUUUAUCGGCGCCUGGUUAGGAGUCUUAUCUACUUGACCACUACUCGACAUGAUAUCUCCUAUGUUCUUCAUCAGGUCAAUCAGUUUAUGACUUCUCCUCGACAUCUCCAUCUUGUUGCAGUUCGGCGUAUCAUCCGCUAUCUUCAAGGUUCACCUACUCGUGGGUUAUUCUUUCCUACCAUAUUCUCUUUUCAACUUGUUGCAUAUAGUGAUGCUGAUUGGGUUGGGUGUCUAGAUACAUGUCGAUCUACUAUGGGUUGGUGUAUUUUUUAGGUGAUGCCUUAAUUUCUUGGAGAUGUAAGAAACAAGAUCGUGUUUCUAAAUCCUCUUCUGAGGCCGAGUAUCGUGCCAUGUCUACUGCUUGUUCUGAAAUUGUAUGGCUACGUAGUCUUCUUGAGGAGCUUGGGUUUCCUUAGACUACUUCUACACCUCUUCAUGCUGAUAACACUAGUGCUAUUCAGAUUGCCACCAAUCCCCUUUUUCAUGAAUGUACCAAGCACAUUGAGGUUGAUUGUCAUUCUAUUCGAGACACCUUGGAAAGUUGGGUGAUAUCUCUUCCUCACAUCUCUUCUGAUCUCCAAGUGGCUUAUAUCUUCACCAAAGCUUUGACUCGACAAUGACAUCAAUUUUUUGUUGGCAAAUUGUUGCUGGUUGACUUACCAACAUCAAUUUGAGGGGGGAUGUUAAUGUUACCAUAUACAAUUUAGGAAUCAUAUUGGUUGUACAUAUAGGAAUGUUAAUGUUACCAUAUACAAUUUAAGAAUUAUAUUGGUUGUACAUAUAGGAAAAGAUUGACUUAUUGGCUUACCAUGUAUUUGUUAAUGUUACCAUAUACAAUUUAGGAAUCAGUUAGACUCCGUGUAUAGGAUAUAUAUCAUUAUAUAGAUAGAUGCAAUGAAAUAUAAAAAAACUGAUCAAAGAUAUCGGUUUUUGUGGAUUUUUUUUUUAGUAUUUUGACAUCUAUAUGAAUCAAUCUUUAAAAGAGAAGCAAGAACAAUCGAGUAUCAAAUAUUACCUUCUCUAUGGAAAUAUUUUAGGGCCAUGCUCAAGAUAAAAGGGCUUGAUGUCUUUAGCUGCAAAUAGAGGACGUCUCUAAUCAUUCGGAGCAGUUAGCAUGGCAGUCACAAGACCACCCGUGCUUGUUCCAGCUAUCACAUCGAAGUAGUUUGUAAUCCUUGCAUCAUCACCAUCCAGCUCCUGAUAUAUUCAAUAUUGUAUUGUUUGUGGUUAGUGUUACCUAAAUCCAUUAUUUUAUCUUAUAUUUAAAGAAAAGUCACUCCAAGAACCCUACUUUGAUAUGUAGUAGAAUAGAUAGAGAUGAAAUAUGUGCAAACGAUCAUCCACAUGAUAUUAAAUAAUUUAUACCUAAAGUUGUGAUUCCAGGAAAGCAAGGAUAGUUGCAGGAAUGAUGCCCCUGAUACCACCUCCAUCAAUACUAAGAAUGGUGAGGUUACCAUAAGUUUGGGGCUGGAUUUGAGUUAAGAGUGAUUUCUCCAUCUGAAAAAUGAUAAUUGUAGGAUUGUAUGCACUAACUUACAAGAAACUAAGAAACCCUUGGAUAAAAGGAAGAUGUGAAGAAAAGGAAAAAAGCUUGAGGCACCAAGAAAGAUGGCCUUGAGUAAGAAAAGGAUGAGAAAAAGGACACAAUGCUCGAGUUGUCUUCUUCUUGUGUUGGAAUAUUGCAUUGUCCAAAAUCUAUUUAUAGGCUAAUCGAGCAGCAAGGCAAGUGCUAUAGAAUGCGGUUACUGACGAGAAUUUGAAAAUCAAGAAAACUCGACGAACAUGAGAUGGUCAUGGAGUGCAUGCAUGGUCUUCUUUGACAUUGUCCAUGGUCCAGAUUACGUUUCUGUGACCACACUUUCCUACAUUUUUUGAAGACAGAAUUUUCUCGCGUGAAGACUUUAUGAUUGACGAGUAGGUAAUGUGAUAUGCUGAUGAAGUCAGCUUCUAGCACAGAGCCCCAUUAAUAGGAUAUUGUUGAAUUGGAGAAUGUUUCCACACACUCAAAAUGGGGCGUUGUUUUAGCAUCAAGAAAUUGUCAUCUUCAUUAGCUUGUUGGAAUUGAGAUGUAUGACUGAUGACUUGUUAGGAUUUAUUUGAAAAUAAAGUCCAAGCUUGCUGCUUCUUCGAGGGUAGCAUACCAUAUAAAGCUCUGUCUCUCUCUUUCUCUCUCUCUCUCUUAUAAGGACAGUGAUGAUCGUCCAAAGAAGAAUUCCCAAGCAGGCAGAGAUGCACAACUGCAAGUAAUUACACACAGAAUGAAGGCGGCUGGCCAGAUUUAACAUGAGAAAAUCAUGAUUAAUACAUGAUUCUUCACCAAUAAUUGAGUUGAAUGAGUCCACUAUUCAAAUCACAUCGUUCAAAAAAAAAAAAGAAAACAGAUAAUUCAAAUCACAUUAUUAAUGAGUGGGCCGGUCUCAUUUAAGAACACGAUUUGACAUGCAAAAUUAAUGGAUCCAUCCAUAUACAACAUCUACCACAACUCAUGAGAAGAAAUUCUGGUUAUUCUAAUAAUUCACCAUUUUUCUUCAUGGAAUUAGUUAUGAAAUAGUCCCAAUUUAGUACUAUUAGAGAGAGUAUCAAGGAAAAUAUUUGGUAGGUGGGCGGUGAAUCAAGUUAAUUAGAUGGUGAAGAAAAACUAAUGAGAGAUGAACUUAAUCAACAAGGUGUACCUCUUUUUUCUGUUGUUACCUCAUAUGCUAUGUAUAAUAUGCUAGUUAAUCCAACUGUGUUAGACAUUGCUGCUACUUAUAAUUGCCGAACAAAAGGUAAUAACUCUUGCUAAAAGUGGCCUUCAUCAUAAGUGUUCUGCAAACGAACUGCGUGCUUCUUGAAUGUGGAGAUAUGGCUGCUCCCACGAAGUUUCCAUACCACAUUUUGAAGUAUAGCUAGUUCUCGUUCUGAUAUUAAUCCACACUAAUGCUGGCAGAUUCCAACACUGGUAUAAUACCAUGUUUUCCAUCUUUUUUUUUUUCCUGUAUAUACACAUAUUAUAAAGUCCAUGUUACAUGUUUAAUAACCAAAGAAAGAUAAAUUAAUGAACAUGCAAAUGAAUGCUCAUGCUUACAAGAUGAUUAUUUUGAUCUUCUAUGAUAGUGAAACGACGUUGAUCUCUUCUAUAUAUAUAAUUAGUACAACUAGCAGUCUGCUUUGUCAUGCUGUUGCAUCCUUCUAUUCUUGUAUUUGUGUACUGGGGACAAAUCGUUCUUUGUAUUUGUGUACAAGGGACAAAUCAAACCAUGAGGAUCACAUGACAACACGACACCAUGCUCAUCACAAAUGUUCAUUUGCUCAUGAAACAUAUGGAGCGGGCAACCAGGACAAAUCGACUAAUCAUUACAUGCACGGCAUUAUGUUCAUGAAACAUAUGCUAAAUAUGGCGUAAUAAAUUUUAAAAAAUAAUUAGAGAAAGAGUGUACGUAAGGGAAAAAAAAAAAAAAAAAAAAACUAAUUAAAAACAUGAUGAAGAUGACAAGAUGGUGAAAGAAAUUUUUCACCAAACAUUUGAUUAUUAACUAUAGAAACAUUUGACUAUGUAACCCUGCUACCUUUUUUUAAUAUUGGGGUAGGUACUGUCGUUUCAUCGAAAAUGAUGUUGUAUUACUUGGCAAACAAAGAUGGUGGUAAGUUUGGAAUAAUGCAAUAUAUGAUUUGCAUGCUUUAUUCCUUGGUAAUAUUAUGAUUUUUUACAAAAAUAUUCUUUAAUCGACUUGGGCAGUGUCGGGUCUAGAAAGGCUGCAUCAGUGCCUAGUGAUUCUCAAUCAGAUGUAUAUCUGGACCAUUAGGGAACCAAGAUAAUAUUUUUGUGUUUGUGUCGCUGUUGUCCUUUAAAACUAUUUAAUAAUUUGUUUUCUCAUGCUUGUAGUUUUUGAAAUAAAGUUAAUUCAGGUAGACCAGUUUUUAAUCAGACCUCAAUGCAACAUAUCUUCCCAUCCUACCCAAGAGAAGCUACUGAAAGCUCCUAUGACUGAAGAGAGACAACAAGGAUUCUAUCCUUCUAGAUCGACCUAGCACUCUCUUUUAGAUUCUAUCCAUCUAUUUGUUCUCAUCUUAUUUCUGGGAAGUUCUGUCUUACCCUAAUUAUCAUAUAUAUAUAUAUAUAUAUAUAUAUAUGUUUCAACCCAUCUCAGUGUCUCUUGUAGAUUUAUAAAGGAUAUAUAAGUAUUAUUUCUAGUCCAUUCUAAUUAAUUGCCAUUCCCAUAAUUUAGGUUGAUACAAAAAUAGAACUUAUUCAAGAAAAUAAUAGAAAUCAUUCAAUCUUGUCCUUAAAAUGUUGUGAGAAAUAGAGGUCGCACUAAAUCACAAUGAGUCUGAAUUGCAUAGACGCAAGCACAAAAUCAAAACCAUAGAAGAAAUUCAGUAAAAUCUAUGGACUUACAAUACCUUAAUACUAAAAAUGCUUAAAUUGGUUAUUAAAAAUAUCCCAUUUGGGAUUUAUUUUUACAAUAAGAAUAGUGAAUUAAAAGGCAGACAAUCAGAAACGGGACUCCAACUUAACUAGAAAUUCAUUACAACAGUAGGAAUCAUUCAUAUCAGACAACGACCAAUCCUUUAGAAGCGGCAGCAUGUCCAUGUGGUGACCUAGUAUCUCUACGUUGCUUCUCUUGGGAGAGUAGUCUUGCAAAACUGAAAAAUUAGAAGGAUUUUUUAUUAUUAUAUGAUUAGUUAAUUAACUAAGAAAGCUCUAGAAUAAAACUCUAAAAAUAGUUAGAUACCUUGUGAGAGCCUCCUCAUUGGUCUCGUGAUUUGAAGGCUCAAAGAUACCUGUAUCCAGGUUAACCCUUGAGACCCUUUUCUUUAACAACUCCUCACCAAUUUUCACAAGAUCAUCCAAAUUUUCCUUUGUGGCUAUGUCGACUGAUGAUGUUAUACCCCUCAAUGUAUCAUCCUGUAUUUACCCUUUGUGUCAGUAUCAGUGGUAGACAAGGAACAGAAGAAGCAAUUGACUUUCAGAUAUUUUUAGGACUGAGGAAAUUAUGAAGAAGAACAAAAUUUAAAUAAGAAAUUUGACUUUGUAAGUGACGGUAAAUUUAUGAAACCACAAGCAGCAAAGCUGUACCUGUAUCCGAAGAUAGCUUUUUUCCGAGUGAAGGGCUUGAAAAAGCUCUGAAAGGUGUAAGUCGAUCAUAUCUCCGCUUGCUUGGGUAAACACUUUCACUAAGGGGGUGGAACCACCACUGGUCAACCACCCCAACACACCCCACUUGGCUGCUUCAUCAGCAUUGUAUUUUUCUUCGGCUUUUGAUGACCCAGUUCCCAAGGAUAUUACUAGAAACCGGCCAUAGUCCAUUGGCUUUAUAGGAAAGAAAUCAGGACUACCCCGGAUGAUCUCCUUGGUCACUUCCCCAAUAGCAACCAAAGUCUGAAACAAGAAUCAAUAAUUAAUUGAAUUGUGAAAAGAAAAAUAAAACUGGGAAGUCUAAGAUGCAACUUCAAAGUUAAUGAGUACCGGAUUAUUUGCAGCUACACCACCAUCAAUGAGGUUGAAUUCUCUAACUCUCCCGGCAGGGUCUUUGGUUUCGAAAUAAUGAGCUGGAAGAUAAGUGGGUGCUGCUGAGGUUCCAAUACAUAUAUCUGACAGUAAGGCAUCUAAGCUUGGUCUGCUCUUCACCUAGAGCAGGGAAAUCAAGCAUAUAGUAUUAAUAUGAAAGUUAUUAUAGCUCCCGUCAUUCAUUACAAUCUCUUAAUUUUCAUAGUUUGGAUUAGAAGGAAAUGAAAUUGUGGAAAGAAGAUGAACCUGAUAAGUCGAAAAUAUUGUUGGCUGAAGGCGCUUGAUGUCAAAUGUUGGGAUAACAACAUUAGUAAGGGUCUGGUGUAAUCGUGUUUCACCUAGUUUUUCUUUAACAAGGUUGUGCAGAUACUUCCCAUCAUAUUUUGGUCCUGAUAAGGCUGUAACUACCUUUGUAACAUGAGGAAUUGGAUCAUGACUGCAUUUAAAAGAAAGAUCAUGUUAAUAACUACAAAAAAUAUUGAAGUCUAGUUAAUUUUAUAUACAUAAAUACUAGCAUCCUGUCAUCUUAAUCAAGAUGUUCAUCAUGAUAUAUUUGUUACCUGUGCUGUGGGAAGAUCUUAGGGCAGUGAUCAAGGUAGAAGUCCUUGAUAUCUUUGGCAGAAAACAAGGGUCGGCCAGUGUUUUCAUUGGGAGUAGUUAGCAUGGCAGUCACGAGGCCACCGGUGCUUGUUCCUGCAAUCACAUCAAAAUAAUCUGAAAUUCUCGCAUCUUCACCAUCCAGCUUCUGCACCAUGGCCAAACAAUCUAGUGUUAGUACGUAUAAAAUAUAUCCAAUAUAGGAUAUAGGUUUCAGAUUAGGAAUAUGCUAAUUUUAAAAGGCAAAUGGAAAAGCCAUAUUUUGUUAUUAUCAUGUAAAACCUUAUAUUUCCUACCUGAAGCUCAGACUCCAGGAAGCCAAGGACUGUUCCUGGGAUAAGCCCUCUUAUUCCACCUCCAUCGAUGCUGAGAAUGGUGAUUAGAUUUCCAUAAGUUGGAGGCUGUAGGGGUGAUUUUGGACCUUCUCCCAUUAGGGAUGGAGUGAUGGAGGUAUGAACUUGAGUGAUAGAGGAGAGAAAUGAGAGACUUGUUAUUUCAAGAGACUUAGAAUAGAAUUGAAGUUUCUG
rnacentral:lncRNA from 1 species